AUGGAUGUGAGACUGAGAUGGAUUUUCCUUUUUGCUCUUUUAAAAGGUGUCCAGUGUGAUGUGCAGCUGGUGGAGACUGGAGGAGGCUUGGUACAGCCUGGAGGAUCCCUCAAACUCUCCUGUGCAGCCUCUGGAUUCACAUUCAGUGACUCCUGGAUGGACUGGGUCCGCCAGGCACCAGGGAAGGGCCUAGAGUGGGUUGGUAGAAUUAAACAUAAACCUAAUAAUUAUGAAACAAGCUAUGCAGAGUCUGUGAAAGGCAGAUUCACCAUCUCAAGAGAUGAUUCCAAAAGCAUGCUGUACCUGCAAAUGAACAGCUUAAGAGUUGAAGACACCGCCAUUUAUUACUGUGCUAGACACACAGUGAGAUGA